GAAGAAUGAUGUUACAGGAGAGAGACUAAGAGCAUUUCCAGUGGCUAAAGAUGAGUGCUUCAACGGAUCAUCCGAAGAGGUUCUGCAGGGCUAGAGAGACUCCAAACACAAGAAUUGGGCAAACACUGAACUGGAUGUGGUUGCUGAAUUGUUUCUGUCCUUAUCUUGUUGAGAUGUUUUACAUCUUUCAUCAGAAAUUUCUCCACUGUCCUUGAGCUAGUGUUUUCCAAAUGCCAGUCGAUAGAGCAGUGCUGAUCUGUGACAACAUUUUCACUGAUCUGUAGUCAUAUCAAAGAAUAAAAAAAUAGGCUGGACAAAGUGGCUCAUGCCUGUAAUUCCAGCACUUUGGGAGGCCAAGACAUGCAGAUCACUUGAGGUCGGGAGUUCAAGACCAGCCUGACCAACAUGGAGAAACCCC
rnacentral:lncRNA from 1 species